GCGGGUGUAGCUCAACGGCAGAGCGCUUCCUAACCCAGGUCGAGACGGUGGUUCGACUCCAUCUCCCCGCU
rnacentral:tRNA from 1 species